GCAACUAUGUAAAUCAAGGUGAAGGUUCAUAGUCCAUUUUGAUAACAUUCGAUCUAUUUUAGAGUUUGCACGAGCACGUGUGAAAGCUUUGUAAACAGAAAAUGUCAUCGCUUUUACGAGCUUUUUGUGGUUACCACAGAAUUUCAACAAAAUGGAAAGGACUUGUACCAUCGUCAUAUCAGUUCAUUCAGAAUGGAUUAGUAUCAACCUACAAUCAGAGUGACAAGACAGAUUAUGCAUAUGAGAUGGCUUGUUCGAAUAUUCGAUAUGGAAAAGGCGUGACACAGGAAGUUGGUCUGGACUGCCUAAACUUCAAAGCCAGAAAUGUUUGUGUGAUGACGGACAGUAAGCUAGCAAAAAUGGAUCCUGUGCGGGUGGCUCUUGAGUCCUUAGAACAACAUAAAGUUCCAUACCAACUGUAUGACAAAGUGCGUGUGGAGCCAUCAGACCAGAGCUUCAAAAAUGCAGUUCAGUUUGCAUUAGAUGGAAACUUUGAUGUCUUCUUGGCAAUAGGCGGGGGAUCAGUGAUGGACACAUGUAAAGCUGCUAAUCUUUACUCCAGCAAUCCAAGUGCAGAGUUUUUGGACUAUGUCAAUGCUCCCAUUGGCAGGGGAAGGCCUGUCACGCACACUGUGAAGCCUCUCAUUGCUGUAUCAACCACAGCAGGGACGGGAAGUGAGACAACAGGGACUGCUGUCUUUGAUUUCUUAGCCCUUAGGUCCAAAACAGGUAUAUCCAGCAGAGCUUUACGACCCACUCUAGGAAUCCUUGACCCUCUCCAUUUGAGAACAGUUCCAGAAAGAGUGACUGCCUAUACUGGCAUUGACGUUUUAUGUCAUGCAAUAGAGUCAUUUACUGCUUUGCCUUAUUAUGAAAGACAGCCCCGCCCUGAUAACCCAAUUGCACGGCCUGCCUACCAAGGUAGUAACCCGAUCAGUGAUGUAUGGUCGAGGCAUGCCUUGACUAUAACUUCCAAGUUUUUGAAACGUGCUGUGUACAAUGCAGAUGACUUUGAAGCACGUUCGGAAAUGUUGCUGGCCAGUUGCUUUGCUGGAAUUGGUUUUGGCAAUGCUGGUGUGCAUUUAUGUCAUGGCAUGUCUUACCCAAUCUCAGGCUUGGUGAAGACAUUCACAUCAAAAGACUAUGACUUGGAUCAUCCAAUGGUUCAGCUGGAUCAACUGAGGGAAUCCCACUGGGCUAUACAAGUGUCAAGCUGGCAUGCCUCUGGGUUUUGUAAUCAGUCCUCUAUAACUGUUUGGCUGUCUACUUCCCCUUGAUUGCUACCUUCACUACAAUGCGUACAGAAAUGGCAUUAGUGGCUGGAUGCAGAGGCUUGGAAGGAUCUUUUCAGCAAAAGAAAUUGGCUUAAACAAAACAAAACUGUACUUUAAGCUACAGUACUAUACAUCAAGAACUAAAAUUUGAGCCACAUGGACUUUCUGUCAUCAUCACUGCUCCAGCAGUGUUCACUUUCACUGCAUCAGCAUGUCCUGAGCGCCAUCUAGAGGCAGCGACAUGCCUUGGAGCUGAUGUAAGAAAUGUGA
rnacentral:misc_RNA from 1 species